ensembl:snRNA U1 U1 spliceosomal RNA
AGGCUUACCAGGCAGGCAAGAUCCCAUGAUCAGGAAGGUGGUUUUCCAGGGCAGCGCUUAUCCAUUGCACUCCAGAUGAGCUGACCCCUAUGAGUUCCCCAAAUGUGGGAAACUUGACUGCAUAAUUUUUGGUAGUGGGGGACUGCUUUCCUGCACUCCUCAA